AUUGAACGCUGGCGGCAGUCUUAACACAUGCAAGUCGAGCGGGAGGCGGACGGGUGAGCAAUGUCUGGGAAACUGCCUGACGGAGGGGGAUAACUACUGGAACAGGUAGCAACUACCGCUUACCAUCGGAUGUGCCCAGAUGGGAUUAGCUAGUAGGUGGGGUAAAGGCUCACCUAGGCGACGCUCCCUAGCUGGUCUGAGAGGAUGACCAGCCACACUGGAACUGAGACACGGUCCAGACUCCUACGGGAGGCAGCAGUGGGGAAUAUUGCACAAUGGGCGCAAGCCUGAUGCAGCCACGCCGCGUGAAUGAAGAAGGCCUUCGGGUUGUAAAGUACUUUCAGCGGGGAGGCGUUACUCGAAGAAAAAGCACCGGCUAACUCCGUGCCAGCCGCCGCGGUAAUAC
rnacentral:rRNA from 1 species